UCUAAGGUUUCCAGAGUAAAGCUGAUCUGCUCUGGGUAAGUCGGGGCCUAAGGCCAGGUCGGAAGACGUAACCGAUGGACAACAGGUUGAAAUUCCUGUACCUUAAGUAAACAGAACUGUGGGACACGUGUGGAGAGCACAAGCCGGAAAUGGAAAAGCCGGUGCAAGCGAGGUAGGAGUACAGUAGGCCAAUCCGCUGUACAAUCCGAAGACGUGAUGCGGACCGAAUUAAGAGUAGGGAAGUGUGUGAGCCAUGCGUCAAGAAAAGCCGCUAUUGUUUUACUUAAGCCCGUACCGUAAACCGACACAGGUGGAUGAGGAGAGAAUCCUAAGGCCGACGGGAGAAGCAUUGUUAAGGAACUCGGCAAAAUGACUCCGUAACUUCGGGAGAAGGAGUGCCAGCGAGAGAUGGCCGCAGAGAAUUGGCCCAAGCAACUGUUUAGCAAAAACACAGGUCUAUGCAAAACCGUAAGGUGAAGUAUAUGGGCUGACGCCUGCCCGGUGCUGGAAGGUUAAGAGGAGAGGUUAGCGGCAACGCGAAGCUUUGAAUUUAAGCCCCAGUAAACGGCGGCCGUAACUAUAACGGUCCUAAGGUAGCGAAAUUCCUUGUCGGGUAAGUUCCGACCCGCACGAAAGGCGUAAUGAUUUGGGCACUGUCUCAACAAUGCACCCGGUGAAAUUGAAAUACCAGUGAAGAUGCUGGUUACCUGCGCCAGGACGGAAAGACCCCAUGGAGCUUUACUCCAGCUUGAUACUGGGAUUCGGUAUUGCAUGUACAGGAUAGGUGGGAGGCUAGGAAGUGAUAACGCCAGUUGUCACGGAGCCGCUGUUGGGAUACCACCCUUGCAGUAUUGGAUUUCUAACCAGCGACCAUGAACUGGUCGGGGGACAACGUCAGGUGGGGAGUUUGACUGGGGCGGUCGCCUCCGAAAGGGUAUCGGAGGCGCUCAAAGGUUCCCUCAGAAUGGACGGAAACCAUUCGAAGAGUGCAAAGGCAGAAGGGAGCUUGACUGCGACACCGACGGGUGGAGCAGGUACGAAAGUAGGACUUAGUGAUCCGGUGGUAUAAAGUGGGAUUGCCAUCGCUCAACGGAUAAAAGCUACCCUGGGAUAACAGGCUUAUCACUCCCAAGAGUUCACAUCGACGGAGUGGUUUGGCACCUCGAUGUCGGCUCAUCGCAUCCUGGGGCUGAAGUAGGUCCCAAGGGUUGGGCUGUUCGCCCAUUAAAGCGGUACGCGAGCUGGGUUCAGAACGUCGUGAGACAGUUCGGUCCCUAUCCGGCGUGGGCGUAGGAUAUUUGAGAGGAGCUGUCCUUAGUACGAGAGGACCGGGAUGGACUGGCCGCUGGUGUAUCUGUUGCAUACCAAGUGCAUGGCAGAGUAGCCAAGCCGGGACGGGAUAAACGCUGAAGGCAUCUAAGCGUGAAGCCCCCCUCAAGAUGAGAUAUCCCUACGUAAGUAGUAAGACCCCCUGAAGACGACGAGGUAGAUAGGUCAGAGGUGGAAGUACAGUAAUGUAUGGAGCUGACUGAUACUAAUCGGUCGAGGGCAUGACC
rnacentral:rRNA from 1 species